UACGUAGGGGGCAAGCGUUGUCCGGAUUUAUUGGGCGUAAAGAGCGUGUAGGCGGCUUUACAGGUCCGUUGUGAAAACUCGAGGCUCAACCUCGAGACGCCGGUGGAAACCGUAAAGCUAGAGUCCGGAAGAGGAGAGUGGAAUUCCUGGUGUAGCGGUGAAAUGCGCAGAUAUCAGGAAGAACACCCGUGGCGAAGGCGGCUCUCUGGGACGGUACUGACGCUGAGACGCGAAAUCGUGGGGAGCGAACAGG
rnacentral:rRNA from 1 species